AGAGUUUGAUCCUGGCUCAGGAUGAACGCUAGCGGGAGGCCUAACACAUGCAAGCCGAGCGGUAGAGUCUCUUCGGAGACUUGAGAGCGGCGCACGGGUGCGGAACACGUGUGCAACCUACCUUUAUCAGGGGGAUAGCCUUUCGAAAGGAAGAUUAAUACCCCAUAAUAUAUUAGAUGGCAUCAUUUGAUAUUGAAAACUCCGGUGGAUAGAGAUGGGCACGCGCAGGAUUAGAUAGUUGGUAGGGUAACGGCCUACCAAGUCAACGAUCCUUAGGGGGCCUGAGAGGGUGAUCCCCCACACUGGUACUGAGACACGGACCAGACUCCUACGGGAGGCAGCAGUGAGGAAUAUUGGACAAUGGGUGAGAGCCUGAUCCAGCCAUCCCGCGUGAAGGACGACGGCCCUAUGGGUUGUAAACUUCUUUUGUAUAGGGAUAAACCUACUCUCGUGAGAGUAGCUGAAGGUACUAUACGAAUAAGCACCGGCUAACUCCGUGCCAGCAGCCGCGGUAAUACGGAGGGUGCAAGCGUUAUCCGGAUUUAUUGGGUUUAAAGGGUCCGUAGGCUGAUUUGUAAGUCAGUGGUGAAAUCUCACAGCUUAACUGUGAAACUGCCAUUGAUACUGCAAGUCUUGAGUGUUGUUGAAGUAGCUGGAAUAAGUAGUGUAGCGGUGAAAUGCAUAGAUAUUACUUAGAACACCAAUUGCGAAGGCAGGUUACUAAGCAACAAC
rnacentral:rRNA from 1 species